CAGACGGUGCCGCCCUGUUUGUGGUCAUCAGGCAACCGCGGCACCCGCGAGCUGCUGCCCUCUCCCGGAUCCUACCCGUCCCUCCCCCCAGGAUGCUGCCUGGGCUGGGGCUCGGCCUCCCCUGUGGGAGAAGGUAUCCUCCUCUCCCUGCCUCUGGAUGCACCGUUUCCACGAGCCCGAGGACCCCCGGACUCCAUUUCCGGCCAGCCCGGGGCGUCUCACCCCCAGGCCUUCCUUUGCCCGGCGACCAGUGACGUCACCGGAGACUCCGGUCGCCAUUGGCGGGCAGCAAGGAGCGCCGCCAAUGGCGGGGUCGGAGGCGGCUCAGGGGGCGGGGCCGCAGCAGAGCACAGCGAUGGCUCCAGCGCUGGGGCUGGGGGCGCUCCUGAGGCCCCGGGGGGCGGCGAGAGCUGAGGGGGCCCCCCGGCACCGGGACUCUCUGAUCGCCCGUUCCGCAGCACCGAGGGGCCCCUGAACCCCCAUUCCUUGGCGCCGCCAUCCCCCCGCACCCCCAUUCCCCCGGCAUGGGUUCCACCCUGCACCCCUUUAUCCGGCACCAACAACCCCCGCACCCCCUUCUCGGCCAUCCCGUCUCUCCCAGCCCCAGAGCCCCCUUUUCCUUGUCCCAGAGACCCCCUGGACCCCUGUUCCUCCCCUCGAGAAUGUGGAGCAGCGGGAUGGGGAUUCCCCUCCCCUCCUGACCAUGCCGCGCUUCCCAGAGCCGGAAUCCAGCGUGAAUCUCACCCUGGUGCUCCCUGUGUCUGUCAGCGCUGCCAUCGGCCUUGUUCUCCUCAUCGGAUUCGGCGUCUGGAAGCUCCAAUCCGGUUACCCCCAAACCCAUCCUGGGGGUCACCAUGUUCUUCCCCCCUCCCAAGACUCCUGGGGGUCCCUCAUGACCCACCCAGCCCCCCCCAACUCCUCCUGGAUCACCCAUAAACCGCAUAUGGGGAUUCCUGGGAGUUCCCCUGUGUUCCUCCAUUCCCAGGACUUUGGGGGUCCCCCCGACCUGUCCAUGACUCCUCAGAUUUCUUCCAGAACCCCCCUGUGAUGGUGGGGGGGGUGGGGGCUUGUGGGAGCUCAGCACAUCACUCCUGAUGUCCAGAGCUACCGAGAGAACCCUUGGGGGUCUCGGGAGUCUUGGAAUGUUGCCAAAAGCACUUGGUGGCUUGAUUUUGAUCCAUCUAGAGAUGUGCCACCGAUGUAUGAGGAAAUGGAACCUGCGAGAAUCACUCGGGUGUAAAUGGUGAAGGGAAGAUAUCAUUAUAGGGUGAAUCACAAAUUUUGGGGUUUUGGUACAGGGGGGUUGCAGAGACAAGAUGGAGGAAUCAGGGUGUGCCACCAGGCUCUUCUUUCUUCUUCCUGUCUUCCAUCUUCUGGAGUGGUGUUGGCAUUUGGGGAUUGGUCUGGGAUGAGGGUGUAGUUAGUGACGAAGAUGAUAAGUAUUGGGGACAAAAGGUAAAUAUGAUAUACGUAGAUUUUGUUAUAAAAGAUGCGGCCGCCUUGGGGGGUGGGCAGAGUGCCUUUGGCUGCCGUGCUGGUCAGAUCCUUCGGGCAGAGAAAGGACUUUAUAGAUAAGAAAUAAUAAACAAUUCUGAAGACCGAAAAAA